rnacentral:tRNA from 1 species
ACCUAGCUGGCUCAGUUGGUAGAGCACGCAACUCUUGAUCUCGAGGCUGUAGGCUGGAGCCCCAUGUUGGGUG